rnacentral:misc_RNA from 1 species
UUUCCGUAGGUGAACCUGCGGAAGGAUCAUUAAUGAGUUGUCAUGGGGUUCGAUGCUGGCAGCCAGUUUUUGGAUGCAUGUGCUUGCCCUAACAAUCAUCUUCUUCCAAACACCUGUGCACAUUUUUGAGGGAGUCUUGAGUUGGUUGCCGCUCUUGGGUGAUUUUCUCACAUUCCCUUAAAUCAUUAUACGCUAUUAACAAUGUUGAACGUGCUCUGUGCCGCAAGGCCAUUAAAAUAAUACAACUUUUAACAACGGAUCUCUUGGCUCUC